GCCUUACACAUGCAGUCGAACGGUAACAGCUCUUCGGAGGCUGACGAGUGGCGAACGGGUGAGUAAUACAUCGGAACGUGCCCGAUCGUGGGGGAUAACGGAGCGAAAGCUUUGCUAAUACCGCAUACGAUCUACGGAUGAAAGCAGGGGACCCUCGGGCCUUGCGCGAACGGAGCGGCCGAUGGCAGAUUAGGUAGUUGGUGGGAUAAAAGCUUACCAAGCCGACGAUCUGUAGCUGGUCUGAGAGGACGACCAGCCACACUGGGACUGAGACACGGCCCAGACUCCUACGGGAGGCAGCAGUGGGGAAUUUUGGACAAUGGGCGAAAGCCUGAUCCAGCAAUGCCGCGUGCAGGAUGAAGGCCUUCGGGUUGUAAACUGCUUUCGUACGGAACGAAAAGUCUCGGGAUAAUACCCUGGGACCAUGACGGUACCGUAAGAAUAAGCACCGGCUAACUACGUGCCAGCAGCCGCGGUAAU
rnacentral:rRNA from 1 species